rnacentral:rRNA from 1 species
UACGAAGGGGGCUAGCGUUGCUCGGAAUCACUGGGCGUAAAGCGCACGUAGGCGGCUCAGCAAGUCAGGGGUGAAAUCCCGGGGCUCAACCCCGGAACUGCCCUUGAAACUGCUAAGCUAGAAUCCUGGAGAGGCGAGUGGAAUUCCGAGUGUAGAGGUGAAAUUCGUAGAUAUUCGGAAGAACACCAGUGGCGAAGGCGACUCGCUGGACAGGUAUUGACGCUGAGGUGCGAAAGCGUGGGGAGCAAACAGG